ensembl:lncRNA
GUGGGUGCAUCAUUGACGCACUUAUACUCAAAACAGUCAUCUACACUUGAAUAUUCUUUAUUUUUUUAUUUAUUGCUGUGUUGUUUUUAAGACAUCCCUGACUUUUGUUGCUUCGAUAAAUACGACUUGUGAUGACAUAACUGGUCUUAAAGCCUUUGUUUUAUUUUGAAGGUUAUUGUUGUUCAGCUGAAUUGCAUGCUCCUGACACCAGACAGUGAUUUAACGCCAAUGUUUUUUUGUUUUAUUUUGUGUUUUUUGUUACCAUAUUGCACAGAGAUUCAGUAAAACCGAACAGCCUUUAUUUUUCUUUGCACCUACAGAUCGCAUGACCACGAUCAUUUCCUUUGUGCCAGUUUGUCACCCUUGUCAGCUGAUUCAGCAGCAGUAUUACUCAUUGAAGUGUCCCCGCGUUCACCGUUUCAACAGCUAUCUGAUGUUUGAUGUUUGUUGUUGCCCACAUUUGUUUGUUUUUGUUUGAAGAGACAGCAUGUUUGUUCUCGUUUAAGUGGCCCUUAAACACGCCUGAGGAGCAUUUUUUCACUUAAAUUUAGGAUGGACCACCCCUCCUUUGUUUGUCAAAGGGCAUGUUUCAGUUCACCGUGACGUCUUUUUUUUGUUUUUUCGUGCAAUGUCGCCGACUGUCAUUAAGUUUUAAUUGACAUUCUGUCGAGUAGUAAUGGAAUAAAGAAAUGAAUUCACCUUCAUAAGCACUCAUCUCUUUUUACUUGUAGUAAAAUUGCUUACAGUAACUCUAACUGGGGUCAUAUCUAUCUCUCUUGGUGUUGCUUCAAUUAAAAACGUGGAUGAACACAAAAUGCCAUGUUGAUUACUGUUCAACCUGUGUUACUGCAUACUACAUAUUGUUGAAGAACCUGUAAAUAGUUUGCAUUGAACUUGCAUAGGAUCAUGUUACUGUGGCGUGCUCUUUUUGCCUGUACAAUUCUGCUUCUAAAUGUGUGUGACUGUUGAGACGACACUCUUUUUGUACAUGACUGUCUUUUUAUUUGAGAAUAUUGAUUCUGUCCUUUUUCAUUCUAAAGUUGAGUUUGAAGAGUUCAGACAUGCCUGAAGUUUGACUUUAAUAAAGCUGUACUCUGUCUCAGUGAA